UGGGGAAUUUUGGACAAUGGGGGGAAACCCUGAUCCAGCCAUCCCGCGUGUGCGAUGAAGGCCUUCGGGUUGUAAAGCACUUUUGGCAGGAAAGAAACGUCGCGGGUUAAUACCCCGCGAAACUGACGGUACCUGCAGAAUAAGCACCGGCUAACUACGUGCCAGCAGCCGCGGUAAUACGUAGGGUGCAAGCGUUAAUCGGAAUUACUGGGCGUAAAGCGUGCGCAGGCGGUUCGGAAAGAAAGAUGUGAAAUCCCAGAGCUUAACUUUGGAACUGCAUUUUUAACUACCGGGCUAGAGUGUGUCAGAGGGAGGUGGAAUUCCGCGUGUAGCAGUGAAAUGCGUAGAUACGCGGAGGAACACCGAUGGCGAAGGCAGCCUCCUGGGAUAACACUGACGCUCAUGCACGAAAGCGUGGGGAGCAAACAGGAUUAGAUACCCUGGUAGUCCACGCCCUAAACGAUGUCAACUAGCUGUUGGGGGCCUUCGGGCCUUGGUAGCGCAGCUAACGCGUGAAGUUGACCGCCUGGGGAGUACGGUCGCAAGAUUAAAACUCAAAGGAAUUGACGGGGGUCAUAGCUGUUUUCCU
rnacentral:rRNA from 1 species